rnacentral:rRNA from 1 species
GAUGAACGCUGGCGGCGUGCCUAAUACAUGCAAGUCGAGCGAACAGAUGAGGAGCUUGCUCCUCUGACGUUAGCGGCGGACGGGUGAGUAACACGUGGAUAACCUACCUAUAAGACUGGGAUAACUUCGGGAAACCGGAGCUAAUACCGGAUAAUAUAUUGAACCGCAUGGUUCAAUAGUGAAAGACGGUUUUGCUGUCACUUAUAGAUGGAUCCGCGCCGCAUUAGCUAGUUGGUAAGGUAACGGCUUACCAAGGCAACGAUGCGUAGCCGACCUGAGAGGUGGACCGGCAAAAUGGAAACGGGAACAGGUCCCAACUCCCGAGGGAAGCCAGAAGUGGGAAUCCUCCGGAAUGGGGGGAAAGCCUGAGGGAGCACGGCGCGUGAGUGGAGAAAGUUCUCCGAUCGGAAAACUCUGUUAAUUGGGGAAAAACAAAGUGGAAAUUAAUAAUCCCGGUUUUGAGGUUACUAAUCCAGAAAGCCACGCCAAACUCCUG